UCCAUUAUGUCCUAGUGGUUUGAGUGUUGGAUUAAGACUCUGAAGACCAGGGUUCAAUUCCCUGUUUGGCC